rnacentral:rRNA from 1 species
GACGAACGCUGGCGGCGUGCUUAACACAUGCAAGUCGAACGGAAAGGCCCUGCUUUUGUGGGGUGCUCGAGUGGCGAACGGGUGAGUAACACGUGAGUAACCUGUCCUUGACUUUGGGAUAACUUCAGGAAACUGGGGCUAAUACCGGAUAGGAGCUCCUGCUGCAUGGUGGGGGUUGGAAAGUUUCGGCGGUUGGGGAUGGACUCGCGGCUUAUCAGCUUGUUGGUGGGGUAGUGGCUUACCAAGGCUUUGACGGGUAGCCGGGCUGAGAGGGUGACCGGCCACAUUGGGACUGAGAUACGGCCCAGACUCCUACGGGAGGCAGCAGUGGGGAAUAUUGCACAAUGGGCGGAAGCCUGAUGCAGCAACGCCGCGUGCGGGAUGACGGCCUUCGGGUUGUAAACCGCUUUCGCCUGUGACGAAGCGUGAGUGACGGUAAUGGGUAAAGAAGCACCGGCUAACUACGUG